CUACUACUUAGCCAACUUUAUAUAGUUGACAUGAUGUGGAAAAAAAAAAAUAUUUUGGGGAUUUUUUUUUUUUUAUUGAAUUACAGACUUUGGUUGUAUUUUGGCUAUCAGAACAACUAGAAGAAAAUCAGCUAUACCGUUAUAAAGUGUAACUUAAUUAACCGUUAUUAGAGCAUAUAUAACAGGGUGGAAAACAGAACAAAACAGAACAAAAUGAACUAAACAUGAAAAUAAUUAAAUCAAACAUAAAAAAAAAAAAAAA
rnacentral:lncRNA from 1 species